rnacentral:misc_RNA from 1 species
AGAAAACUGAAGAAACAAGAAAUUUUCCAAUCUGAAACCUAUAUUUCCAUGUUAUGAUACAAUUACACUAAAAGCAACCCGUCUUUUAAUUGCUCUAUCUGAACCUGAACAUCUGUACAACAUAUUUCGGGACGGGUUAGGUCAAAAUUUCAAUUAGGAACAUAACUAAAAAGGGAUUAAAAAAUAAAAACAGCCCUAUAUGUUACAAUAAAAGAAUUGAAUCUAACGUUAGGGAGGGGUUAGAGCUUUGUACAUGGUCUCAUGGUACAGAGAAGCUUUGUGCUUUACAUUUACUGACAUCUGCUCUCUUCUGGUGUUGAAGAAAUUCUGCCAAAUCAAAUGACUAAAACCAGAAACCAAAUCACCUGUCAGCUGUCGUAGUGAAGGAUUGACCAAGACUACAAAAUUUCUUCUCAACACAAUACCACAGAGGCCAUAUCCAUCAUCUAAAUAAAUCGUGCAGUGAACAUUUGCUACGCCAACAUAUUUAACCAUUCUAUUUGGCAAAAAUAUGAUCCGUGUAAAUAUCUAACGUGUUCCAACUCAUCAGUCAUGGAUCAUCAUCUGAUUGAAUGAGCCUUUUCAAUCCUUUGAGCUCCACAAGCCUCAAGGAAUAGUCUUUUUACCUUUGCCCACAUCAACUUGUGAGGCUUACUCCACGCUAUAAAGGAGAAUGUUGGAGCUGAGGUCCUCAGCAGCAUCUUUUGCCAACGCUGACUAAAAAAAUGCGGCACAAGACUGCUGUGUGGUGGGGAGCUCAAACUGCCAUGUAGAUGAAGCAACAUAUCAAUUCUGAGCUAUUUCACACUCCUUUUUGUAAGAUGUAAUCCCUUUGCUUUCUCCAUUUCAGCCUCCUUCUCAGCUUUCUUCUUUUCCAAUUCAGCCUGUUUCAAAUUUUCUUCAUGUGCUUUCCGGAACAACCUCACAAAAUUUAGUAGAGUUGCUGUAACUGCAUUGAUCAUUACAGCAUUAAGGACCAAGCAAAUUAAGAUUCUCAUUCUCCCUAACAUAAAUGACAAAACAAAAGUUAAACUAGAAUAACGUUAGAGAAUUGGAAAACCUUGCUUCCUUUAUCCCUCCCUUGUCAUUUUCUUCUUUUAUUGUUCUUAUCCUUUAAAUAGUUCUUUCAGUAUAACUACAGAAGCCUAUCUCCAGGCAACAAGGAACUAUUUUCGAAAUUAAAUUACAUCAUAAUGCUAAUAUACUUCCCUCAACUGGGAAAACAUAUCUCCAAGUUGUCUAUUUUUUGCCAUCUAAAUGAAAUUUUCGCUAUUUCACAAGGGGUUCAAUCAAUAAAAAUGACCCAAUUUUCAAGAACUACAUACUCAACAACUCAUAUGGCCUCAAAUACAGAAUAUCUUUCAGUAACUUUUACCAUGGUACAGACAAAUAUAGGCAAUGCCUAGAACUCUAACAAUAACUUCGAUGGAUUGAAUGGCAGUAAAAGUAGAAAUGCGUAAUAUACAUAACUUGCCUUGUUCAAAUGGGCAACGAGCUGGAUCCUCGCCAAAAUAUAGUGCAAGUGCAUCUGCAUUUCUACCCACAACAGAAUAUAGAUUUGUCACAGAUGCCACCUCUGUCUCAGCAACAGAAAUGAAUUCUUUCAAUGUCUAAAAAUUGGUACAAAAAAAUGUCAGUCCAUUAAAAAGAUAACAUGCAAGAAAAUCUGCAGAAAAUAAAAUUCAAAUUAUGUAAUUUCUCCUUCUGACGUAUUAGAUGACAUUCUCAAAGGAGAUCCUGUAAGUAAGAUAGUUCACAAUCAUAAAAUUUUUUAGCACCAAAUUUUCUUAAUUAAUUAAUCAUAUUUAAAUUUGAAGUUUUGUCACAUGCAGAUGUCAGCUAGAUGCAUUUAGAGACAGAUAUUUCUUCUGCAAUCUAAUUAAUCCCAUUCUCUAUCCUCCUAAAAAACUAUUUAUACAAAACAAAAUUAAAAAUAAGGCAGCAAAAUAAAUGACAGUAGAUCAUCUAGGCAUUUUAACAUGCUCUCGCUCAAAGCAGAAAUCCUGUCGUUGCAAAAGAAUACAGCUGUGUCAAUUGACUAUCAGGAAGAAAAGAAGAGCAAAUAUCAUAAGUAAGAAACCCACACUAACCAAACCACCAAAUCAAUACAUAAUCACUCAAAAAAUAUAUAUAUAUAAUAACCAAACUCCAAUCAACAAUCUUAAUGUCGCAAGAUACACCAGAUAUCAUGAAAUCAAUCUAACAAAAAGUU